CAGUUAUUUCCCAGAGAUCCCUGCACUGUUGGCUGAUGUUAGAAGGUUCUAUCGAAGGACGCUGUAGAGAGGCUGAGAUGUUUGAGAGUCCCAGUGAGACUGAAGCUGCGCCUUUGAAAGCAGCUGAAGUCAAAUUGGGGAGUGAUGGAAUAACCAUAUCAACUCACUGUUGGGAGACUUCCAAAAACUCCUACUGUGAUGGCUCGAGUGUUGCUGAUGGGUCUGUUCAGUGUUGACAUCCUCAUGAAAUCAAACCUGACUGGAGGGAGGAAUAAGGUGGACCCUGCUGCUGAACGUCGCCAGGCUCUUGACAGGAAAAGGCUUUAGUUGAUGCUGUUGUCACCCACCAUCCUGGGGUGAAGAUUUCUGACAUCAGAAAAGCAAUCAAUGCAAGAAUUUGUGAAUUCAGGCAUCAAGUAAAGUGAAAGAAUGCUAUGAUGAAACUGAACAGAUUUAAAAGAAUUACUUGUUGGUUUGUUAAAAAUCAAAGUUGAAAAUGUUGAAUUUCAACUUGAAAAUGUUUGGAUGGUUGAAA